CUUGCGCCACUUUGAAAGCGUGCCGAUGGGGUGGAACGUGCAUGGUCGUUGUAUCGCUUGAGGUAAUUGCCAGGAAGCCUCGCACGUGAAGGGACAAUUUUAUUUCUAGGACAGUGCUCUGCAUGCCUCUAUUCACAGGCAUUUUUUAAACCUUUUAUUUACAUUAUUUGUUAUUUAUUUUCUUUCUCGAAAUUUUUCUAAAUCUGAAAUUAAACUUUCGAAUUAUUUUAAAAAAUAUUUUAAUAAAAGAUCAGAAAUAUCUUCCAACAAUUUGAAAAUGUGU
rnacentral:lncRNA from 1 species